rnacentral:rRNA from 1 species
AGUGAACGCUGGCGGUAGGUCUAACACAUGCAAGUCGAACGGCAGCACAGUAAGAGCUUGCUCUUACGGGUGGCGAGUGGCGGACGAGUGAGGAAUACAUCGGAAUCUACUUUUUCGUGGGGGAUAACGUAGGGAAACUUACGCUAAUACCGCAUACGACCUACGGGUGAAAGCAGGGGAUCUUCGGACCUUGCGCGAUUGAAUGAGCCGAUGUCGGAUUAGCUAGUUGGCGGGGUAAAGGCCCACCAAGGCGACGAUCCGUAGCUGGUCUGAGAGGAUGAUCAGCCACACUGGAACUGAGACACGGUCCAGACUCCUACGGGAGGCAGCAGUGGGGAAUAUUGGACAAUGGGCGCAAGCCUGAUCCAGCCAUACCGCGUGGGUGAAGAAGGCCUUCGGGUUGUAAAGCCCUUUUGUUGGGAAAGAAAAGCAGCAGGUUAAUACCCCGCUGUUCUGACGGUACCCAAAGAAUAAGCACCGGCUAACUUCGUG